GGCUUCAAUAUGCAAACGUCUGGAGGACACAAUUCAGUCCACAACAGCUGGGGUGAGACAGUAGGAUGAGCCAGUGGCCGGGAUAUGGGGAUUUUAAGGACCGAACUGUGUUUCCUGUAGAUUCAAGGUGGUCACAGCAUGAGACUGGGAGUCAAAUGUGAAACAGCCCGUUGAAGGCAGACAAGAUGAUGGACAGACCAGAGGAGGUGUAUGCUGCAGAUACCCAUGCUGUCCUCCAAGUUCAAUGUCCAGCUCCUCUGUGGUGCCCAACUGUGUCCCCAGACCACGGCCUGGGCCUCUUCCCAAGCUGCCCCUAUGUGGAACCGAUCUGGUGGCUGGACUUCCAGAGAAGUUCCAACUUGCCCACCAGCUCCAGUGCCUUUUUCUUUGUCCCUCCACAAUCUUCCUCCAGACCUUCACUUCCCUAGUCCCUCCCACAAAUACUGCAGGUCUAAUUCCUAGGACAAUCCUCUUUCUCUUAACACUUACAGUCACUCUGCUCCCUGGAUGGCACCCUAAGUGAUACACACUGAAACUGUCCCCCCUGUGAUUUCAAC
ensembl:lncRNA